rnacentral:rRNA from 1 species
GAGAGACGCUGGCGGCGUGCCUAACACAUGCAAGUCGAACGGAGAUACUUUUGAAGCUUGCGAUAAAGUAUCUUAGUGGCGGACGGGUGAGUAACGCGUGGGUAAUCUGCCCAUAAGUGGGGAACAAUAGUUGGAAACGACUGCUAAUACCGCAUAAUCUGCCUUAGGGUAGGAAAGGUGGCCUCUUAACAAUGCUGCCGCUUAUGGAUGAGCCCGCGUCUGAUUAGCUAGUUGGUGGGGUAAAGGCCUACCAAGGCGACGAUCAGUAGCCGGCCUGAGAGGGUGAACGGCCACACUGGGACUGAGACACGGCCCAGACUCCUACGGGAGGCAGCAGUGGGGAAUAUUGCGCAAUGGGGGAAACCCUGACGCAGCGACGCCGCGUGAGCGAAGAAGGCCUUAGGGUUGUAAAGCUCUGUUUUAGGGGACGAAUGUUCAUAGGAGUAAUAUGCCUGUGAAAUGACGGUACCCUAAGAGGAAGCCCCGGCUAACUACGUG